rnacentral:rRNA from 1 species
UACGUAGGGUGCAAGCGUUGUCCGGAAUUAUUGGGCGUAAAGAGCUCGUAGGCGGCUUGUCGCGUCGACUGUGAAAUCCCGCGGCUCAACUGCGGGUCUGCAGUCGAUACGGGCAGGCUAGAGUUCGGUAGGGGAGACUGGAAUUCCUGGUGUAGCGGUGAAAUGCGCAGAUAUCAGGAGGAACACCGGUGGCGAAGGCGGGACUCUGGGCCGAUACUGACGCUGAGGAGCGAAAGCAUGGGGAGCGAACAGG